rnacentral:sRNA from 1 species
GAGGAAGCAUCUGUGGUCAGAAUUGAUGCUGGGAGCCACAAGAUUACAGUCACUGCCGUGCAAAGCACAAGCGCGGCAAUCAUGCUGUUGAAGCGGCCUAGCUUGUCGGCGAUGUAUCCAGGCACUGAUCCGCCAAUGCAGGACCCCGCAUUCAUUAUCGCAAUGAGCUGACAUGACUUUUCCUGCGUCAUUGCGCUGGUGGACAGAGCAAAGGAAGUAAGAUAGGUGAUCGGAACGAAAAGAGCCCAUUCCAUGAAAUAUAUCCCCAACGCAAGCGACGGGUGCUCCUGGUCGCGGAAGAUGUUUAUUAGGCUGGGCAGAACCGUCUGUCCAGGUUUUUUGUGGGAACCCCGCGCGAAACCAGGAUAACCCGAGACCACUCAGAUCUUUUGAAUGUAACAAUGCACUCAGAUGUAGAAACUAAUGACCGCGGAACCGCGGGGCAGGUAACUCGCAACCAUACCGCUGGACCAGGAGAUCGCGAUGAACCCAAUGAUUCUUGUCGCCCACGUAAAUCCAACCCUAUAGAACAGCUUCUGUAGAGCUAGCGGGAAGACGAUACCACCGAGCGAACCCCGCCGCCGCUGCAAUGCCGGAAUGCCGGUGACAGUUGCCCGCUUUGGCAGGAAGAAGUGUCAGGGAAGAUAGCAUUCGUAUAAUGGGGCCGGGUCGCGGAGGGUUAAACUUGUUUUUCUCAUUUUGUUUUCGGAACGAAUUUCUUCGGAGCUACCUACAGAUGCUCCUGCGAAAAGUUUUGACUUGCGCUAAUACUUUAAGCUGAAAUGCUGAUACCGGCAUUAAGUGUUGUGUUGCAUCUCUUAAUGAAAAGGAGAGGGAGUCCCAGGGGGCUUAUAGAGGCCAACACCCCUAGCCUACCCACUAGCUCAGUCUCUAAAUUCCAGGUGGUGUGGCCUGGAGAUACAAUACACUAGUAAGGAUAUUUCAAGGUAAAUUCUUAGCAGGAGACAAAACUUUUCGCAGCGGCAUCUGUAUACCUCUGGGAGUUAGCGGUUCAGCCUAUAUAUAGUCCUAUAUCAUAAUUAUGUGCCAUGGAAAACGUCAUUCCUUGUGAGGAGGACGAGGAGGGUGGGGGGAAAUCGCGUAAAUAGUGGUUGGUGGUUGGUAGCUUAUCAAUCGCCUGCUCUGGCUUGCGCCGUUACGAAACAGUAACCUCAGUUCUGCAC